rnacentral:rRNA from 1 species
GACGAACGCUGGCGGCGUGCUUAACACAUGCAAGUCGAACGGUGAAGCGCUUGCCUUUUUGGUGGGUGUGGAUGAGUGGCGAACGGGUGAGUAACACGCGAGUAACCUGCCCUCUUCUUCUGGAUAACCUCAUGAAAGUGGGGCUAAUACGGGGUAUUCCGGGUCUGUCGCAUGGCGGGUUUGGGAAAGAUUGCGCCUUUGGGUGUUUUCGGUGGGGGAUGGGCUCGCGGCCUAUCAGCUUGUUGGUGGGGUGAUGGCCUACCAAGGCGGUGACGGGUAGCCGGCCUGAGAGGGUGGACGGCCACACUGGGACUGAGACACGGCCCAGACUCCUGCGGGAGGCAGCAGUGGGGAAUAUUGCACAAUGGGCGCAAGCCUGAUGCAGCGACGCCGCGUGAGGGAUGGAGGCCUUCGGGUGGUGAACCUCUUUCGCCAGUGAAGCAGGCCUGCUCCUGUGUGGGUGGGUUGACGGUAGCUGGAGAAGAAGCGCCGGCUAACUACGUG